rnacentral:rRNA from 1 species
GACGAACGCUGGCGGCGUGCCUAAUACAUGCAAGUUGAGCGCUGAAGGUUGGUACUUGUACCCAAUGGAUGAGCAGCGAACGGGUGAGUAACGCGUGGGGAAUCUGCCUUUGAGCGGGGGACAACAUUUGGAAACGAAUGCUAAUACCGCAUAAAAACUUUAAACACUAGUUUUAAGUUUGAAAGAUGAAAUUGCAUCACUCAAAGAUGAUCCCGCGUUGUAUUAGCUAGUUGGUGAGGUAAAGGCUCACCAAGGCGAUGAUACAUAGCCGACCUGAGAGGGUGAUCGGCCACAUUGGUACUGAGACACGGCCCAAACUCCUACGGGAGGCAGCAGUAGGGAAUCUUCGGCAAUGGACGAAAGGCUGACCGAGCAACGCCGCGUGAGUGAAGAAGGUUUUCGGAUCGUAAAACUCUGUUGGUAGGGAGGAACGUUGGUGAGAGUGGAAAGCUCAUCAAGUGACGGUAACUACCCAGAAAGGGACGGCUAACUACGUG